rnacentral:rRNA from 1 species
AGGACGAACGCUGGCGGCGUGCUUAACACAUGCAAGUCGAGCGGAAAGGCCCUUCGGGGUACUCGAGCGGCGAACGGGUGAGUAACACGUGAGCAACCUGCCCCUGGCUCUGGGAUAGCCUCCGGAAACGGGGAUUAAUACCGGACAUGACCUGCUGCCGCAUGGUGGCGGGUGGUAAGUUUUCGGCCAGGGUGGGGCUCGCGGCCUAUCAGCUUGGUUGGGGGGGUGACGGCCCACCGAAGGCGACGACGGGUA